rnacentral:rRNA from 1 species
GAUGAACGCUGGCGGCGUGCCUAAUACAUGCAAGUCGAGCGAACAGACGAGGAACUUGCUCCUCUGACGUGAGCGGCGGACGGGUGAGUAACACGUGGAUAACCUACCUAUAAGACUGGGAUAACUUCGGGAAACCGGAGCUAAUACCGGAUAAUAUAUUGAACCGCAUGGUUCAAGAGUGAAAGACGGUUUUGCUGUAACUUAUAGAUGGAUCCGCGCCGCAUUAGCUAGUUGGUAAGGUAAGGGCUUACCAAGGCAACGAUGCGUAGCCGACCUGAGAGGGUGUUCGGCCACACUGGAACUGAGACACGGUCCAGACUCCUACGGGAGGCAGCAGUAGGGAAUCUUCCGCAAUGGGCGAAGGCCUGACGGAGCAACGCCGCGUGGGUGAUGAAGGUCUUCGGAUCGUAAAACUCUGUUAUUAGGGAAGAACAAAUGUGUAAGUAACUAUGCACGUCUUGACGGUACCUAAUCAGAAAGCCACGGCUAACUACGUG